UGAAUUGCAGAAUCCCGUGAACCAUCGAGUCUUUGAACGCAAGUUGCGCCCGAACCCUUCGGGUUGAGGGCACGUCUGCCUGGGCGUCACGUACGCAUGUCUCUCACAACCCUUCGCCCCUUGCGGACGUAGGGCUUCGUGCGAGCAGAGAUUGGUAUCCCGUGCUC
rnacentral:rRNA from 1 species